rnacentral:rRNA from 1 species
CACGUAGGGCGCGAGCGUUGUCCGGAAUUAUUGGGCGUAAAGAGCUCGUAGGCGGCCUGUUGCGUCCGCUGUGAAAGCCCGGGGCUUAACCCCGGGUCUGCAGUGGAUACGGGCAGGCUAGAGGUAGGUAGGGGAGAAUGGAAUUCCCGGUGUAGCGGUGAAAUGCGCAGAUAUCGGGAGGAACACCGGUGGCGAAAGCGGCUCACUGGACCAUAACUGACGCUGAUGCACGAAAGCUAGGGGAGCAAACAGG